UACGUAGGGUGCGAGCGUUAAUCGGAAUUACUGGGCGUAAAGCGUGCGUAGGCGGUUCGCUGUGUCCGAUGUGAAAGCCCCGGGCUUAACCCGGGAAUGGCAUUGGAAACUGGCGGGCUUGAGUGCGGCAGAGGGGGGUGGAAUUCCGCGUGUAGCAGUGAAAUGCGUAGAGAUGCGGAGGAACACCGAUGGCGAAGGCAGCCCCCUGGGUCGACACUGACGCUCAGGCACGAAAGCGUGGGGAGCAAACAGG
rnacentral:rRNA from 1 species